rnacentral:pre_miRNA from 1 species
CAAGUACUCCCUCCGUUCGGAAUUACUUGUCAUCAAAAUGGAUGUGUCUAGAACUAAAAUACAUCUAGAUACAUCCAUUUCAAUGACAAGUAUUUACGGACGGAGGGAGUACAAG